rnacentral:rRNA from 1 species
CAGCCGCCGCGGUAACACCGGCGGCUCGAGUGGUGGCCACUUUUAUUGGGUCUAAAGCGUCCGUAGCCGGCUUGGCAAGUCCCCUGGGAAAUCUGGCGGCUUAACCGUCAGGCGUCCAGAGGAUACUGCCAGGCUUGGGACCGGGAGAGGUGAGAGGUACCUCAGGGGUAGGGGUGAAAUCUUGUGAUCCCUGAGGGACCACCAGUGGCGAAGGCGUCUCACUAGAACGGGUCCGACGGUCAGGGACGAAAGCGGGGGGCACGAACCGGAUUAGAUACCCGGGUAGUCCCAGCCGUAAACGAUGCUCGCUAGGUGUCAGGCAUGGCAGGACUGUGCCUGGUGCCGAAGGGAAGCCGUGAAGCGAGCCACCUGGGAAGUACGGCCGCAAGGCUGAAACUUAAAGGAAUUGGCGGG